rnacentral:rRNA from 1 species
UACAGAGGGUGCGAGCGUUAAUCGGAAUUACUGGGCGUAAAGCGCGCGUAGGCGGCUUUUCAAGUCGAUUGUGAAAUCCCCGGGCUUAACCUGGGAACUGCAGUCGAGACUGUCUAGCUAGAGUAUGGGAGAGGGAAGUGGAAUUUCAGGUGUAGCGGUGAAAUGCGUAGAUAUCUGAAGGAACAUCAGUGGCGAAAGCGACUCCUGGACCAAUACUGACGCUCAUGUGCGAAAGCGUGGGGAGCAACAGGGAU